GUUUAAAUGAGCAAGUCAAACACCUUGGAUGGAAGACCUCGGCGCCUUUGGGUUCGAGAUUCCUUCCAUCCUUUAUUGGAGAGUUUGAUCCUGGCUCAGGACGAACGCUGGCGGCGUGCCUAAUACAUGCAAGUCGAGCGGAGUUAAUUAGGAGCUUGCUCUUGAUUAACUUAGCGGCGGACGGGUGAGUAACACGUAGGCAACCUGCCCGUAAGACUGGGAUAACUACCGGAAACGGUAGCUAAUACCGGAUACGCAAGUUUCUCGCAUGGGAGACUUGGGAAAGGCGGAGCAAUCUGUCACUUACGGAUGGGCCUGCGGCGCAUUAGCUAGUUGGUGGGGUAACGGCUCACCAAGGCGACGAUGCGUAGCCGACCUGAGAGGGUGAACGGCCACACUGGGACUGAGACACGGCCCAGACUCCUACGGGAGGCAGCAGUAGGGAAUCUUCCGCAAUGGACGAAAGUCUGACGGAGCAACGCCGCGUGAGUGAAGAAGGUUUUCGGAUCGUAAAGCUCUGUUGCCAGGGAAGAACGUCCUCUAGAGUAACUGCUAGGGGAGUGACGGUACCUGAGAAGAAAGCCCCGGCUAACUACGUGCCAGCAGCCGCGGUAAUACGUAGGGGGCAAGCGUUGUCCGGAAUUAUUGGGCGUAAAGCGCGCGCAGGCGGCUGUUUAAGUCUGGUGUAUAAUCCUGGGGCUCAACCCCGGGUCGCACUGGAAACUGGGCAGCUUGAGUGCAGAAGAGGAGAGUGGAAUUCCACGUGUAGCGGUGAAAUGCGUAGAGAUGUGGAGGAACNUAGGGCUAGCCUCGGUGGGAUAGUCGUGGAGGUAGAGCACUGAUUGGGUGCGGGGCCCGCCAAGGGUUACCAAGCUCAGUCAAACUCCGAAUGCCAUAGACUGAAUAACCGGGAGUCAGACAGUGAGUGCUAAGAUCCAUUGUCAAAAGGGAAACAGCCCAGACCAUCAGCUAAGGUCCCCAAGUGUGUGUUAAGUGGGAAAGGAUGUGGAGUUGCACAGACAACCAGGAUGUUGGCUUAGAAGCAGCCACCAUUUAAAGAGUGCGUAAUAGCUCACUGGUCGAGUGACUCUGCGCCGAAAAUGUAACGGGGCUAAACACACCACCGAAGCUAUGGCUUGAUGCAUUGCAUCAGGGGUAGGGGAGCGUUGAAUACGGGUUGAAGCUAGACCGGAAGGACUGGUGGACUGUAUUCAAGUGAGAAUGCCGGUAUGAGUAACGAAAAGAUCAGUGAGAAUCUGAUCCGCCGAAAGCCUAAGGGUUCCUGAGGAAGGUUCGUCCGCUCAGGGUAAGUCGGGACCUAAGGCGAGGCCGAAAGGCGUAGUCGAAGGACAACAGGUUUAAAUUCCUGUACCACCGUAAUCCGUUAUGAGCGAUGGGGUGACGCAGUAGGGUAGUGACGCGGGGCGAUGGAAUGCCCCGUCCAAGCAGUGAGGCUGGUGUGUAGGCAAAUCCGCACAUCGUAAGGCUGGGCUGUGAUGGGGAGGGAAAAUUUACAGUACCGAAGGUCAUGAUCUCACACUGCCAAGAAAAGCCUCUAGUCAGGAGAAGGUGCCCGUACCGCAAACCGACACAGGUAGGCGAGAAGAGAAUUCUAAGGCGCGCGGAAGAACUCUCGUUAAGGAACUCGGCAAAAUGACCCCGUAACUUCGGGAGAAGGGGUGCCCCGGUAGAGUGAAUAGCUCGAGGGGGCCGCAGUGAAAAGGCCCAAGCGACUGUUUAGCAAAAACACAGGUCUGUGCGAAGCCGCAAGGCGAAGUAUACGGGCUGACGCCUGCCCGGUGCUGGAAGGUUAAGGGGAGUGGUUAGGGGUUUAACCCGAAGCUAUGAACCGAAGCCCCAGUAAACGGCGGCCGUAACUAUAACGGUCCUAAGGUAGCGAAAUUCCUUGUCAGGUAAAUUCUGACCCGCACGAAUGGCGUAACGACUUGGGCGCUGUCUCAACGAGAGAUCCGGUGAAAUUUUAAUACCUGUGAAGAUGCAGGUUACCCGCGACAAGACGGAAAGACCCCAUGGAGCUUUACUGCAGCUUGAUAUUGGACUUUGAUACGAUUUGUACAGGAUAGGUGGGAGCCUAGGAAGCCGGAGCGCCAGCUUCGGUGGAGGCGCCGUUGGGAUACCACCCUGAUCGUAUCGGAGUUCUAACCUGGUACCGUGAUCCGGUAUGGGGACAGUGUCAGGUGGGCAGUUUGACUGGGGCGGUCGCCUCCUAAAGAGUAACGGAGGCGCCCCAAGGUUCCCUCAGAAUGGUUGGAAAUCAUUCGAAGAGUGCAAAGGCAAAAGGGAGCUUGACUGCGAGACUGACAAGUCGAGCAGGGACGAAAGUCGGGCUUAGUGAUCCGGUGGUACCGCAUGGAAGGGCCAUCGCUCAACGGAUAAAAGCUACCCUGGGGAUAACAGGCUUAUCUCCCCCAAGAGUCCACAUCGACGGGGAGGUUUGGCACCUCGAUGUCGGCUCAUCGCAUCCUGGGGCUGAAGUAGGUCCCAAGGGUUGGGCUGUUCGCCCAUUAAAGCGGUACGCGAGCUGGGUUCAGAACGUCGUGAGACAGUUCGGUCCCUAUCUGUCGUGGGCGUAGGAAAUUUGAGAGGAGCUGUCCUUAGUACGAGAGGACCGGGAUGGACGCACCGCUGGUGCACCAGUUGUUCCGCCAGGAGCACAGCUGGGUAGCUAAGUGCGGACGGGAUAAGCGCUGAAAGCAUCUAAGCGUGAAGCCCCCCUCAAGAUGAGAUUUCCCAAUUAGUAAGACCCCUUGAAGACGACGAGGUUGAUAGGCCUGAGGUGGAAGUGCAGCAAUGUAUGGAGCUGACAGGUACUAAUCGGUCGAGGGCUUAUCCAA
rnacentral:rRNA from 1 species